GAUCUCAUAAAUUUUUUGGGUUUUCUUUUAUAGUGGUGCUGCAAUUGGACAUUUCUUUGGUUCUUUUCCCUUACACGUUUGUCUCAUCAAUUUAUUGGGAAUGGUUCAGGUUAAGUAGGGAAAAUGUAAGAAGAAUCAGCAGCGAUGGCGGUGCCUUUGCUUUCGAAGAAGACAGUGAAGAAAAGGGUCAAGAAGUUCAAGCAACCCCAGACAGAGUGCAAAAUUCAACUCAAACACCCGUGUCCAACUUGCUAAGAAAAGCGGAAAAGGGGAAUACAGGAAGUGUCAUGAGUCUUCCCAAGCAUAGUAGGAAGGUCACUCAUCAUGAAUAUGAAGUCGAAACAGCAAAUGGAAGAACAAUUACAAAAAAAGGAAAACCAAAAGUACUGUAAUGUUUGCGGGAACAAAGGGACAAGUUCAUACAAAUUCAUCUAAUAUAGGUGAUCUGUUUUCAGAAGGAUCUCUGAAUCCUUAUGCAGAUGAUCCCUAUGCAUUUGAUUAGAGUAUGAAGUGUUUGGGUCGACCGUGAAGAAGCCAGUGCAAAAAAAAAAAAGGAUUUGUCUACAAAAAAGGUGUCGAAGCUGAGAAGCUGAUUGGUGUUAGCGCGCUUGACAUGUUUGAGGCUGCUGACGAUGAGGUUAUGUGUUGCUCUAUUCUCAUGCAUAGAUACCUGAACUUGGAGAUUGUUCAACUAUGUAGCCAGACCUUUAAGUUGUACCAUCGUGUGGCUUGUCGAAUUGAACUGACCAGGCUCCUAUGCUAUUUUAAGCGUUCAUCCGAUGUGAUCAACAAAGUGACGUGCACUAAAUACGCUGUUGUUGCUUGCUACCCAGUUUAGAGAGGUUGUUUUUGGAUGCUUAUUUCUUGUGCUAUCUUGUCAGCUCGUGAACUUCUUUGAGCUUGUAGUGGCGUCGGUAUUAGUUUUGAGGCUUAUAUGCUAUUGAUACUAAUAGCAUUUAGUGGUUCUGUUCUUUUUAAAAAAUUUUCUUUGGGAUGCUUUGUUAUGCUGCCAGCUCAGAGCCUUUCUUCUUGGGCUGAGUUCUUAGGCAGCAGUAGUAUUUGGAAUAGUGAUAUGUAGACUAUAGACCACAUGUUUGUUACUUAGACGAU